rnacentral:sRNA from 1 species
CGAUUUUUAGCCGUUUUGAUUCUACUAAUGCAG